GGCCUGAUGGUCUAGUAGUAUGAUUCCUUGUUAGGGUAAGACCAUUCGAGGAGGUCCUGGGUUCAAUUCCCAGUCAGGCCC